rnacentral:tRNA from 1 species
AGUGGAGUAGGGCAAUAAGUGGCUCGUCGGACUCAUAACCCGAAGGUCACUGGUUCGAGUCCAGUUCCCGCUA